GCGUGCGUGAAGAAGGCCUUAGGGUUGUAAAGCGCUUUUGUCAGGGAAGAUAAUGACUGUACCUGAAGAAUAAGCCCCGGCUAACUCCGUGCCAGCAGCCGCGGUAAGACGGAGGGGGCUAGCGUUGUUCGGAAUUACUGGGCGUAAAGGGCGCGUAGGCGGUCAUGUGUGUCAAGGGUGAAAUCCCAGGGCUUAACCCUGGAACUGCUCUUGAAACUGCAUGACUAGAGUGAGUGAGAGGCGGACGGAAUUCCGAGUGUAGCAGUGAAAUGCGU
rnacentral:rRNA from 1 species